rnacentral:rRNA from 1 species
UGGGGAAUAUUGCACAAUGGGCGAAAGCCUGAUGCAGCAACGCCGCGUGAAGGAUGAAGGCCUUUGGGUCGUAAACUUCUGUCCUUGGGGAAGAAAAAAAUGACGGUACCCCUGGAGGAAGUCCCGGCUAACUACGUGCCAGCAGCCGCGGUAAUACGUAGGGGGCGAGCGUUAUCCGGAAUUAUUGGGCGUAAAGAGUACGUAGGUGGUUUUUUAAGCGCAGGGUUUAAGGCGAUGGCUCAACUGUCGUUGCCCUGUGAACUGGAAGACUUGAGUACAGGAGAGGAAAGCGGAAUUCCUAGUGUAGCGGUGAAAUGCAUAGAUAUUAGGAGGAACACCAGUGGCGAAGGCGGCUUUCUGGACUGUAACUGACACUGAGUCGAAAGCGUGGGGAGCAAA